UACGGGGGGAGCAAGCGUUGUUCGGAUUUACUGGGCGUAAAGGGCGCGUAGGCGGCCACCGCAAGUCGACUGUGAAAUCUCCGGGCUUAACCCGGAAAGGUCAGCCGAUACUGCGGGGCUAGAGUGCAGAAGGGGCAACUGGAAUUCUCGGUGUAGCGGUGAAAUGCGUAGAUAUCGAGAGGAACACCUGCGGCGAAGGCGGCAUCCUGGACCGGCAUUGACGCUGAGUGAGCGAAAGCCAGGGGAGCAAACGGG
rnacentral:rRNA from 1 species